rnacentral:lncRNA from 1 species
UUCACCUGCCAUGUGAGAAUGUGGAAUUGAGUGACAUUGAUCUCAAGUACACUGGAGACAAAGGUCCUAUUACCUCUGUGUGUUCUAAUGUCAAGCCGACAAUUAAUCGAGUGGCACAGCCUCUUGCUUGCUCUACCGGCGCUACUGCUGCUUGAUCUAACAAGCACAAACCAUGUUGCUGAUGUUUCUUCAGAGAUACAUUGGUUGUGUGCUCUUCGAUUUUGUGUUGAUUGUACUUGGUGUUUUCAUCUAAGAGGUGGAAAAUAUCUCAGUACAU